rnacentral:rRNA from 1 species
GGAAUAUUGGUCAAUGGGCGAGAGCCUGAACCAGCCAAGUAGCGUGCAGGAUGACGGCCCUAUGGGUUGUAAACUGCUUUUAUAUAGGGAUAAAGUGACCCACGUGUGGGUUUUUGUAGGUACUAUAUGAAUAAGGACCGGCUAAUUCCGUGCCAGCAGCCGCGGUAAUACGGAAGGUCCGGGCGUUAUCCGGAUUUAUUGGGUUUAAAGGGAGCGCAGGCUGAUUAUUAAGCGUGACGUGAAAUGUAGCCGCUCAACGGCUGAACUGCGUCGCGAACUGGCUGUCUUGAGUGAGUUCGAUGUGGGCGGAAUUCGUGGUGUAGCGGUGAAAUGCUUAGAUAUCACGAAGAACUCCGAUUGCGAAGGCAUCCUUCUGGGGCAUGAUUGACGCUGAGGCUCGAAAGCGCGGGUAUCGAACA